GAACUCUAUUAUUUUGUAAGGGAUUAAAAUUAUUUUAUUCUGCUGCAUACAUUUAUCUUAUAUGUACUUGUAUUUAUUUCUAUAUCUGGCACCCUUAUGCUUUAAUUAACAUUUGGGAUGUCAUAAAUGGUAUUAGAGUAGGUAUGCUGAAUAAUCCCUUACAACUGAGGCUGUAGUUAAGAAACCCUUCUACAAUACUUAGGAUAUGUUUUCU
rnacentral:lncRNA from 1 species